rfam:Pristionchus pacificus strain PS312 contig1131, whole genome shotgun sequence.
GCCCACGUAGUAUAGUGGUUAGUACUCCACGUUGUGGCCGUGGCGACGCUGGUUCGAUUCCAGCCGUGGGCA